GACGAACGCUUGCGACGUGCCUAAGAAAUGCAAGUCGAACGGGGUAGCAAUACCUAGUGGCGAACGGUCGCGUAACACGUGGGCAACCUGCCCCAGAGCGGGGGAUAACAGGCCGAAAGGUUUGCUAAUACCGCAUGUGGACUUCGUCGGCAUCGACGUGUGUCUAAAGAUUUAUCACUCUGGGAUGGGCCCGCGGCCUAUCAGCUAGUUGGUGGGGUAACGGCCUACCAAGGCUUCGACGGGUAGCUGGUCUGAGAGGACGAUCAGCCGGAUUGGG
rnacentral:rRNA from 1 species